rnacentral:snRNA from 1 species
AGACGUCGCUGCCGUGAUC